rnacentral:rRNA from 1 species
GAACGCUGGCGGCAUGCCUUACACAUGCAAGUCGAACGGCAGCACGGGAGCAAUCCUGGUGGCGAGUGGCGAACGGGUGAGUAAUACAUCGGAACGUGCCCAGUAGUGGGGGAUAACCCGACGAAAGCCGGACUAAUACCGCAUACGACCUACGGGUGAAAGCAGGGGAUCGCAAGACCUUGCGCUAUCGGAGCGGCCGAUGUCAGAUUAGCUUGUUGGCGGGGUAAAAGCCCACCAAGGCGACGAUCUGUAGCUGGUCUGAGAGGACGACCAGCCACACUGGGACUGAGACACGGCCCAGACUCCUACGGGAGGCAGCAGUGGGGAAUUUUGGACAAUGGGCGCAAGCCUGAUCCAGCCAUGCCGCGUGCGGGAAGAAGGCCUUCGGGUUGUAAACCGCUUUUGUCAGGGAAGAAACGCUCCGGGCUAAUACCUCGGAGUAAUGACGGUACCUGAAGAAUAAGCACCGGCUAACUACGUGCCAGCAGCCGCGGUAAUACGUAGGGUGCAAGCGUUAAUCGGAAUUACUGGGCGUAAAGCGUGCGCAGGCGGCUUUGCAAGACAGAUGUGAAAUCCCCGGGCUUAACCUGGGAACUGCAUUUGUGACUGCAUGGCUGGAGUGCGGCAGAGGGGGAUGGAAUUCCGCGUGUAGCAGUGAAAUGCGUAGAUAUGCGGAGGAACACCGAUGGCGAGGCAAUCCCCUGGGCCUGCACUGACGCUCAUGCACGAAAGCGUGGGAGCAACAGAUUAGAUACCCUGGUAGUCACGCCCUAACGAUGUCACUGGUUGUUGGACGGUUGCUGUCAUACGAACUACGCGUGA